rnacentral:rRNA from 1 species
UUUAAGUGCCCCGCCUGGGAAGUACGGCCGCAAGGCUAAACUCAAAGGAAUUGACGGGGGCCCGCACAAGCGGCGGAGCAUGCGGAUUAAUUCGAUGCAACGCGAAGAACCUUUACCUAGGGCUUGACAUGCACGGCGGCACUGCAGAGAUGUGGUGGCAUUUAGUUGGUCGUGUGCAGGUGGUGCAUGGUUGUCGUCAGCUCGUGUCGUGAGAUGUUGGGUUAAGUCCCGCAACGAGCGCAACCCUUGCCCUAUGUUGCCAGCACGUGAUGGUGGGGACUCGUGGGGGACUGCCGGGGUUAACUCGGAGGAAGGUGGGGAUGACGUCAAAUCAUCAUGCCCCUUAUGUCUUGGGCUUCACGCAUGCUACAAUGGCUGGUACAGAGGGUUGCGAUACUGUGAGGUGGAGCGAAUCCCUUAAAGCCAGUCUCAGUUCGGAUUGGGGUCUGCAACUCGACCCCAUGAAGGUGGAGUCGCUAGUAAUCGCAGAUCAGCAACGCUGCGGUGAAUACGUUCUCGGGCCUUGUACACACCGCCCGUCACGUCACGAAAGUUGGUAACACCCGAAGCCCAUGGCCUAACCGCUUUGUGCGGGGGGAGUGGUCGAAGGUGGGAUUGGCGAUUGGGACGAAGUCGUAACAAGGUAGCCGUACCGGAAGGUGCGGCUG